CCUACGGGUGACAGCAGUGGGGAAUAUUGCGCAAUGGGCGAAAGCCUGACGCAGCGACGCCGCGUGAGGGAUGAAGGUCUUCGGAGCUUAAACCUCUGUCAGCAGGGAAGAACGGUCACUGUGCUAAUCAGCGGUGACUUGACGGUACCUGCCAAGGAAGCACCGGCUAACUCCGUGCCAGCAGCCGCGGUAAGACGGAGGGUGCGAGCGGUAAUCGGAAUUACUGGGCGUAAAGCGCUCGUAGGCGGUAUGUCAAGUCAAGGGUGAACUCUCCGCGCUCAACGUGGGAACUGCCGUUGAAACUGGCAGACUGGAGUGUGUGAGAGGAUAGUAGAAUGCCAGGUGUAGGAGUGAAAUCCGGAGAUAUCUGGAGGAACAUCGGUGGCGAAGGCGACUAUCUGGCACAUAACUGACGCUGAGGCACGAAAGCGUGGGUAGCAAACAGGAUUAGAUACCCGAGUAGUC
rnacentral:rRNA from 1 species